rnacentral:rRNA from 1 species
UACGUAGGGUGCGAGCGUUAAUCGGAAUUACUGGGCGUAAAGCGUGCGCAGGCGGGCUUUUAAGUCAGACGUGAAAUCCCCGGGCUUAACCUGGGAAUGGCGUUUGGGACUGGGAGUCUGGAGUGCGGCAGAGGAGACUGGAAUUCCUGGUGUAGCAGUGAAAUGCGUAGAUAUCAGGAGGAACACCGGUGGCGAAGGCGGAUCUCUGGGCCAUUACUGACGCUGAGGAGCGAAAGCGUGGGGAGCGAACAGG